AUGUGGCCCAGUCGGCCUCAACCCGAGUCCUGCUGCAGCCGCCGGGACGCCUGCAGACCUGCGACCUGCGACCUGCCGACCUGCGACAUGCGACCUGCGACCUGCGACCUGCGACUUGCGACCUGCAGACCUGGGACCUUCGACCUGCGACCUGGGACCUGCGACCUGCGACCUGCAGACCUGCCGACCUGCGACCUGCGACAUGCGACCUGCGACCUGCGACUUGCGACCUGCAGACCUGGGACCUUCGACCUGCGACCUGGGACCUGGGACCUGCCGACCUGCCAACCUGCCGACCUGCGACAUGCGACCACCUGCGACCUGCGACCUGCGACCUGCGACCUGCGACCUGCAGACCUGUCGACCUGCGACCUGCGACAUGCGACCUGCAACCUGCGACCUGCAGACCUGGGACCUUCGACCUGCGACCUGGGACCUGCAGACCUGUCGACCUGUCGACCUGCCGACCUGGGACCUGCGACCUGCAGACCUGUCAACCUGCGACCUGCCGACCUGGGACAUGCGACCACCUGCGACCUGCAGACCUGGGACCUGCGACCUGGGACCUGGGACCUGCGACCUGGGACCUGCGACUUGCGACCUGCAGACCUGUCGACCUGCGACCUGCGACCUGCCGACCUGGGACAUGCGACCUGCGACCUGCGCCCUGCAGACCUGGGACCUGCGACCUGGGACCUGCAGACCUGUCGACCUGCGACCUGCCGACCUGCGACAUGCGACCACCUGCGACCUGCAGACCUGGGACCUGCGACCUGCGACCUGGGACCUGCGACCUGCGACCUGCGACCUGCGACCUGCCGACCUGGGACCUGCGACCUGCGACCUGCUCCCUGCAGACCUGGGACCUGCGACCUGGGAACUGCAGACCUGUCGACCUGUCGUCCUGCGACCUGCGAACUGGGAACUGCAGACCUGUCAACCUGCCGACCUGCGACAUGUGACCACCUGCGACCUGCAGACCUGGGACCUGCGACCUGCGACCUGGGACCUGCGACCUGCGACCUGCCGACCUGGGACCUGCGACCUGCUCCCUGCAGACCUGGGACCUGCGACCUGGGAACUGCAGACCUGUCGACCUGUCGACCUGCGACCUGCGAACUGGGAACUGCAGACCUGUCGACCUGCGACCUGCCGACCUGCGACCUGCAGACCUGUCGACCUGCGACCUGCCUAGUUUUCAACUGCGUUCUUUUAAAGCGGCGCCAAACCAGUGAUGUGAGUGAUGCUGGAGACUGA
rnacentral:lncRNA from 1 species